rnacentral:rRNA from 1 species
CGUAGGGUGCAAGCGUUAAUCGGAAUUACUGGGCGUAAAGCGUGCGCAGGCGGUGAUGUAAGACAGUUGUGAAAUCCCCGGGCUCAACCUGGGAACUGCAUCUGUGACUGCAUCGCUGGAGUGCGGCAGAGGGGGAUGGAAUUCCGCGUGUAGCAGUGAAAUGCGUAGAUAUGCGGAGGAACACCGAUGGCGAAGGCAAUCCCCUGGGCCUGCACUGACGCUCAUGCACGGAAGCGUGGGGAGCAAACAGGAUUAGAUACCCUGGUAGUCCACGCCCUAAACGAUGUCAACUGGUUGUUGGGUCUUCACUGACUCAGUAACGAAGCUAACGCGUGAAGUUGACCGCCUGGGGAGUACGGCCGCAAGGUUG